GAUAAAUCAAAGUUUCCCUGUAAAGCCAGGAGACAAACACUCAUUUCUCAGUCUGUAACACUGCUGUCUGCUGUGAUGGUAACAUCUCACUUUUCUAAGUGGCAAGUUAUUUUGAGAGUUGAAGAGUAACCAAUGUCAAGGUUGCAGAGAAAGAUUCAGCUGAGCUUUUUUUUUGGUCACUGAGUGUGCCUUCAUUUGUCCUCUGUGGAAUCUCGCAGUUCUCCUAUCCCUCAAGCAGUCCUGGAGCUGAAGCACUCUAUCAUCCAUGAGUUGCCCAAAAGGAUUGGUUUCCAGUGCCUGCAGAUGAUCACGAGGCAGUUGAUGGACAUGACUUGUUCAACAAGGGCAUCAAGCUGGCAGGGAUCCUCCAGAAAGUGUGAAAAGUCUCUGUGGAAGCAUGGAUGGUUCAUACUUUAUCACUGCCAAAGACAUGCUGAAAGUUCAGGUGCCCUUUAUGUCCUGGAAGGCUGCUAUAAGAUCUCCCUAGAGCAUUCUUUUGCCCAAGCUGAACAACCCCAGCUCUCUCUCUUCGACUGUCUUCUUGUGCAUGCCGAAUAGGCCUGGUGUAUUGACACUCAGCAGUGAAGAAGCAUAAUUGAGAUCCAGAUCCUAAAGGACCCACAUCUGCCAGGAAUACCUCUGUGACUUGACACAGGCUGGUGGUGAUGGAAGCCCAGGCAUCAGAUGCUUCUUAUAAGUCCUUUCAUUGCUUUGAAGUGUUUUUGCAAUGUAAUGAUAGGAAGAAAAAUCAGUUAGGCACAGGGAAAUACUUUUAGGCAGGGUAUACAAUACUGUAAAAUAUUCAAUGAGUUCUGAAGGCCUGAAAAGUCCUAUUUUGGAUAUACUUUGUAUAACCAGAUUGUACUUGAAGAAUUACUAAAACAUCAUUUCCCCCCCUUUAUUUGCUUCAGGAGAUCAAAGUUAUAACUUUUUAGUAAUACCUUCAUUUGAUCAUAGUUGGAAGACUAAAAACUUCAUUUAUUUUCUAGUUAAAAUAAUCAGAAGAGUUUAUAUAUUCUCCUUGAAAGCAAGCUGUUGUAGUAGUUGCUUAAUGAAUUAACAAUGCUCACCAUCUUGGCUUCUUCUGGUAGGGAGAAAGCAGCUCAAGUUCUUCCCUAGGAAAAUAAUCCCAUUUCACUACAUGUGUCCCUGUUUUGUACUGCAGUGCAGUGGCUCAGAGGCAAAACUGUUGCAUUCCUUGAAAAUUAAUGUUCAUAGAAGUUGUACAUUGUGACAUCUCAGCACAAUCUAGUUAAAUUUUUACAGUUCAGGCAACUUAUAUAUAUUGCUUGGUCUUCUAUGUCCUUUACAGACACUCAUAUGUAGUGUUUGCUCUUUACUCUUUUCAUUAUAAAAUUAUGAGAUUGUAAAACCAGCAUUCAGAAACUUAAUAAAAAUAAGAGCCAAAUAAA